rnacentral:tRNA from 1 species
UCCCUGAUGGCUCAGAUGGUAAAGAAUCUGUCUAUAGUGCAGGAGACCCAGGUUUGAUCCCUGGGUGGGGAA